rnacentral:lncRNA from 1 species
AGAGCAAUGGGGACGGGCAGGGACAGAGCUGCGGGCUGAGGUUCCUCCGUUCGGCGAAGCCCCUUCUCUCUGCCCCCGCCUGCUCUGGGCUUUCUUGGCUAUGUCUGCUCCUGACAGGAGGGAUGUGUGUUGCCAGGGGUGGGGGCUUGGCGUGUGUGCGUGUGAGAAUAUGUGUGUGUGUUUAAAAUACAAAAAAAAAAAAAAAAGAAGCGUGCCUAUACUCAGCCGCGAGACGCUGGCCAGCCUCCAUCCGUGCCAACUCCCCUCCGAGCUGGCACUGGGGACUCCGGAGGCACGGGGAGGAGGAAGGUGCGGGCAGCUUGCGGUGAGGAUGGACGCGUGCCACCGACGUAUGCCAGCGGCUGCAGGGGGCCAAACGCCUAUCCACAAAACCCACCGCGAUCGCUGGCAGCCGUGGCGGGAGGCGGCAGCAGUUGGCAGAGGUGCCAGGGAGGGCCGGCUGGGGCAGGUGGAUCCUGGCAGCAGCAGCGCAGGGGUCACGCUCCAGGCCUUUCUCCAAGCCCUCCCCGCGCUGGGACGCAUUUACCCGCCUGCCUGUUGACUUCGGCUGGCACCCACUCCUGGGCUGCUCAGAGCUGCUGCUCCCUGUUGAUGAGCACUGUAGGUGGCUUCGAGAUGCACGCCUCGGGACGAUCUGCCUUCCUCCCCCGCCUGCCAUUCCCGCACUGACAAACGUCUGCCCUGGGUGUUAGGAGCGAGGUGCACAUUGCACCUUACAUCCUCAUGGGCGGCUCCAGGAGCCUCACUGCAGCUGAUGAGUACUUAACACCAUCAUCCAUCUGUGUGGCCGUUGGGGCUGGCACAGAAGCUCUGGAUGCCUCUACCUGGAAACCAGGGCUGUUCUCCCUGGAUGGCAGGAAGGAAGCAGGUGGGAGGCGGGCGGAGGUGCUUGUUCCACCGGCACUCCUGGGUUCUGAGGACAUGGCACUUCCCCGCCUGUGUCUUGCUUUGGCCAUAGGUUCUGAGCUUCUGCUUCUCCUCUGUGGGUACGAGGGCCGCUCUGGCAUUAUGUCUUCUAGACCUGCGCCUCCUUCAGACGUCAGGGCCGUGCACUCAGACACCUCCAGUGAAAGCUUUUGGGGUUUGGAUGGAUGGACAGAUGGACAAAUUAACAGCAUUCUGCACUUGGAAUGACAAAACUUUAGGCAAGAAAAGGGUCAUUGGAGAAUAUCUAGUCCAACACUCUAAUGGGAUAGAGAGGGAAACUGAGGCCAGCAGAAAGCAUGUCACCUGACCCAGUCACAGCCCUUGGAUACAGAGGGAAACUGAGGCCAGCAGAAAGGAUGUCACUGGACCCAGUCAGCCCUUGGAUAGAGAGGGAAACUGAGGCCAGCAGAAAGUGUGUCACCAGACCCAGUCAGCCCUUGGAUAGAGAGGGAAACUAACGCCAGCACAAAGGAUGUCACCGGACCCAGUCAGCCCUUGGCCUAGGACCUGCAGACAGGCCACCUGCUGCUUCUGUGACCCCCACAGCCCAGACUCACACAUCUUCCUCCAGGUCAGGGAGUGAAGGGGUCUGCAGUCCUCUCCAACUGAGGGCAGGGACAGUCUCUACGUCCUGAGACCCCAGGCCCCUGACCUACCUGCCGGCCUGCCUGGCAAGGGCACACCUAUCAGGUUGCACCAUAAGGCCACCGGGCUGGGUCUGACUCACCCACAAUCCAUCAGCCUGCUGGUCUUUACACAUUCUGGGAGAGGCAAGAAUCUCUGUAGUUGCUAAAACACUUCCUCUUGGUUAUUCUGAGAACUAAAAACACACAUUAUUUGAAAGUCUUGGGUUUAGUCUAAUCUAAACCCCUCAGGUCGUGACUUAAGCUCUGGCCUCAGAGGUCUCCAUUUAUGCUUGGAUGAGCCACUCCUUUGGUCUUUGUCCCCUCACUGGAAGGCAUGUCCAUGAGGAAAUGGGGAGAAGAAUAUAGAGCUAUGAACUUGGAAUUUUGGUGUCAGAAGGACCUAGGUUCAAGUUCAGGCUCUAUCACUAGCUAGGGACCUCACUUUCUUCAUCUGUAGACUGACGAUAAUAAUAGUACAUACCUCAAAAGAGCUGUGCAGAUUCAAAGUGAUCCUGUGUCUAAACCUUUCUGUAUGAUGUCUGGUACCAAGUGAAUGCCCAGAAAACGGGUCACCCAGGAGCCCACGGGCCUCAGCGUUGAAGACCCCACAACGGCUGUCUCCAGUGAAUAGGAGCAACCUCAAGCUCUCUCCAUGACGGCCGCAGAGCCUGGAGACCUGGUGCAGACCCCUCCUGCUCCCCCCAGCAGCUUCACAGCAACCAGAUGCAUGGGGUCUGCACCCUGGCAGGCCAGCCCCACACCCAUCACUGCACCCUGGCAGGCCAGCCCCACGCCCAUCGCUGCACCCUGGCAGGCCAGCCCCGCGCCCAUCGCUGCACCCUGGCAGGCCAGCCCCGCGCCCAUCGCUGCACCCUGGCAGGCCAGCCCCGCGCCCAUCGCUGCACCCUGGCAGGCCAGCCCCGCGCCCAUCGCUGCACCCUGGCAGGCCAGCCCCGCGCCCAUCGCUGCACCCUGGCAGGCCAGCCCCGCGCCCAUCCACACGCCUGGGAAACCCCAGCCACACGCCUCCACCCGCUCCCAUCUCAGCAGCACACUGUGACCCAAACACGGGCUGUGGGUUCAGAGACCUGGGUUCCGGAAGUCUAAGCUCAGCUGCUGACUGCCCUGUGACCAACGGGUCAGCCCCCACCCUGCACUUCUGUCCACACAUCGUGGCGACCUGCUGGUCACCGGCCACGCCUGGCACACAGGAUGUGCUCAGUAAAGCCUGGGCUCGUGAGUGCCACGCACAAGUUCAACAGAGGAAGCUGCAGAGCAACGGCUACGCAGGCCAGGACGGGAGGCCCGGGGAGGCCAAGGGCAUGCUGAGGCCAGGACGGGAGGCCCGGGGAGGCCAAGGGCAUGCUGAGGCCAGGAUGGGAGGCCCGGGGAGGCCAAGGGCAUGCUGAGGCCAGGACGGGAGGUCCGGGGAGGCCAAGGGCAUGCUGAGCCCAGGACGGGAGGCCCGGGGAGGCCAAGGGCAUGCUGAGCCCAGGACGGGAGGCCCGGGGAGGCCAAGGGCAUGCUGAGGCCAGGACGGGAGGCCCGGGGAGGCCAAGGGCGUGCUGAGGCCAGGACGGGAGGCCCGGGGAGGCCAAGGGCGUGCUGAGGCCAGGACGGGAGGCCCGAGGAGGCCAAGGGCAUGCUGAGGUCUAGGUGGGAGGCCCAGGGAGGCUAGGGGUGCCCGGAGGUCUGGGCGGGAGGGUGGUGGGAAUACCAAUAGCUGAGCUGCUCUGCAAGUGCUCACAGGCACCCACGGGGGGCCAGCCGAGCACAGGAGUUUGCUGCUGCCAGGAAGACACCGACGUGGCCCAGAACCAGGAAAGCUGCUGCUGCCGUGAGAUCAGGGCUGGUGGGGCCAGACAGCGGCAGGGGCCGAGGACACUCCUGGUCCUAGUGCUGGGAAGUCGGAGCCAGGCGCUUCCUCAGUCCCCCAACCUAGCCAGGCUCCCAGGCCAGCCCCUUGCCAUGGACGCCUCUGCUAGACGUGAGGACAAGAGGCACUGCUGCCAUGGGGCCCUUUCCUGGGUUCAGCCCAGCAUGGUUGAGAUGUGUCCCUGUGGUGUCAGAGAAAAGGAGGGACGUGCGGUUCAGUAACUGGCCCAGAGCGCCCAGAGCCGCACAGCCAGUGACAGAUGCUCAUGGACUACCGGCCUCCUCCCGUCCCUCAGGGGAUUGCAGGUGUAGGGAAAGGGCAUUCCCCGGGGCAGGGGAACUCGAGUGGAGGGCCGGCACUCUGGAGAACUUGAACCCAGGCCGACUCGGUUGCCCUCCCACCUGAGCCGGGAGUAAGGUUGCGCCAAGGAGCAGGCGUGACAUCAGCUCAAACAGGAGGGGAGGGAAGGAGCCCCAGCGCCGCAUCCCCCCUUGCCCAGGCCUCCCUGGGCUCCUCCUGCACAGGAUGGGGUGAGGCCAGGACUGAGAGCAGCCUAUGGGCACUGACCGGAGUCCAGGGAGCCCAGCACUCCCUCCAUGGUCCUCGCCGUCCGACUGCUGGGAUCCACUUGGGGUCAGUGCCCAGUGGGCCUGAGAGCCCCUAGGGCAGAGGACAGACCCACCCCCGCAUCAUGCCCACUCUGCCACACCCAGCUGGGGGAACCUGGACUCGCAGCUGCCCCUCCGAGCUGUGGGUUCCUGAGGAACAAGGGUCAGAGGUGACCUCUCCCCCUCACCUGUUCCUUUGGAGACUGUGAGAUAAAACUGAAUGGAUUCAGAAGCUGAACCGAGGGCAGAGGCCAAGAGGCUACAGGAUGAGUGGGGCCCCGGUGUGUGUACGUGGAGCUGGGCUGUAUGGGAUGGGUGGGGGACCUGGUGUGUGGACAUGGAGCUGGGCUGUAGGGGAUGGGUGGGGGCCCUGGUGUGUGGAUGUGGAGCCGGGAUGUGGUCAGGCUCCCCAGCUGCCCACAAGGGACAGUGCCAUUAGGCGGAUGCUGCCCUUGGGGAAUGGCUUUGGGGUGUCAAGAGGAUCUGGCUCUAGCCCUUGCUCCCCCAGGCCAGCCAGGCUGGUUCCCUCUGUGGGGCCUGGACAUCAUGGGCUGGCCCUGGAGUGGCUGCCGCCUUCCAUCCAUGAACCAGCUUCAUCUCACUGUCAUUAAAAACCCAGGUGUCGGCUGGGUGCGGUGGCUCAUGCCUGUGAUCCCAGCACUUUGGGAGGCCGAGGUGGGUGGAUCACGAGGUCACAUCGAGACCAUCCUGGCUAACACGGUGAAACCCCGUCUCUACUAAAAAUACAAAAAAAUUAGCCGGGCGUGGUGGCGGGCGCCUGCAGUCCCGGCUACUCAGGAGGCUGAG